rnacentral:ncRNA from 1 species
GGCUCCGAGGGACGGCGGUAGCAGUAAUGCCCGCGAGGUUUGCAUUUAGACCUUGACACCCCUAUCGGAGCCUA